GUAAAUUACAACCUAAAAUUAGAUAUUUAUAUGAUGAUGAUGAUGAUGAUGAUCUGCUGAUUUAUAUUCUCCAUCAUGGUAUACUUGGCUUUUAGGACAGGAGCUGUCACAUUGUAGGUGCUCAAUGAACAUUUGCUGAGGGAAUGAAUGAUGGAGGAAAUGCUUAGCUAAUUCUGAUUUGCCUUCUCAUUUUGGUAAAGCAAGUAUAAUUAUUAAGGGCAUUUGAAAGUUAAUGUCUUCUUGUACUCUUAUAGAAUUUACUCAAUCAUUCAUUAAUUCAUUCAACAAAUAUUUGCUGCACCUUUUAGGUGACAGUCUAUUUUAGUUGCUGUAGAGAUGGCAGCAAAAAGGACAGAUGGAAACCAACAUUGCUUUUUUUAGGUUCAUGUUAGGGGAGACGACUGUCAGACAACUAAAUACAAAAUUGUUUAACUGCGAUUGUAGCAAGUGUUAUUAUGGAGAUGAUAGUUGGAACACUAAAUAUACAAUGGCUUAAGUGCAGUUGGGACAGUGCCAUCAUGAGAAAAUACAAGUGCUCUCAGGAAACCUUCAUGUCUUUGGUGGAGGGGGACAGGUGGGGGACACUUCUCAGGAAGCAUUGCUAAAAAACGGAAUGUGCAGGAUGAGACUUUGCUCACCAGGUAAAAAUAGGGCAGAGGGAAGAGUCCUCCAGGCAGCAGGAACUGGACGUUCAAGACUGGAAGGAGCUGAAGAGGCCUGUGCACCCAGUGUGGGAGCAAUGUGGUGGGGGACAGCAGGGGAGUAUGGGAGAGGAGUGGGGUGGAUCCCAGGCCUCCUGGACCAGGCAGGAUUUGGACUGUUAUCAUAGGAGUGAAUGAAAGCCCAGUGCAAGGCUUUUGCAGAGCAGGUGGAAACCCAGAGUCGUUCCCCCAGCAUGAAGGAGCGUGAGGGACACUUCAACACUGAUUUUCUGUGUCUUUCCAUGGUGUGUGUUUUGAGUUCUCUGCAGACUGAAUUCCCAGGGGCAGG
rnacentral:lncRNA from 1 species